UACGGGGGAGCAAGCGUUGUUCGGAAUUACUGGGCGUAAAGCGUGCGUAGACGGUUAUUUAAGUCGGGUGUGAAAGCCCCGGGCUCAACCUGGGAAUUGCAUUCGAGACUGAAUAGCUAGGGUACGGUAGAGGGAAGUGGAAUUUCCGGUGUAGCGGUGAAAUGCGUAGAUAUCGGAAGGAACAUCAGUGGCGAAAGCGACUUCCUGGACCAGUACCCGACGUCAGGCACGAAAGCGUGGGGAGCAA
rnacentral:rRNA from 1 species